AUUGAACGCUGGCGGCAGGCCUAACACAUGCAAGUCGAGCGGAUGAAGGGAGCUUGCUCCUGGAUUCAGCGGCGGACGGGUGAGUAAUGCCUAGGAAUCUGCCUGGUAGUGGGGGAUAACGUCCGGAAACGGGCGCUAAUACCGCAUACGUCCUGAGGGAGAAAGUGGGGGAUCUUCGGACCUCACGCUAUCAGAUGAGCCUAGGUCGGAUUAGCUAGUUGGUGGGGUAAGGGCCUACCAAGGCGACGAUCCGUAACUGGUCUGAGAGGAUGAUCAGUCACACUGGAACUGAGACACGGUCCAGACUCCUACGGGAGGCAGCAGUGGGGAAUAUUGGACAAUGGGCGAAAGCCUGAUCCAGCCAUGCCGCGUGUGUGAAGAAGGUCUUCGGAUUGUAAAGCACUUUAAGUUGGGAGGAAGGGCAGUAAGUUAAUACCUUGCUGUUUUGACGUUACCAACAGAAUAAGCCCCGGCUAACUUCGUG
rnacentral:rRNA from 1 species